rnacentral:rRNA from 1 species
UCGAGAAUCAUUCACAAUGGGCGAAAGCCUGAUGGUGCAACGCCGCGUGGAGGAUGACGGCCUUCGGGUUGUAAACUCCUGUCAUCUGGGAGUAAUCCUUGUGCGUUAAUAGCGUGCAAGGUUGAUAGUACCAGAAGAGGAAGCGCCGGCUAACUCCGUGCCAGCAGCCGCGGUAAUACGGAGGGCGCAAGCGUUGUUCGGAAUCACUGGGCGUAAAGCGUGCGUAGGCGGCGUGGUAAGUCAGAUGUGAAAUCUCUGGGCUCAACCCGGAAACUGCAUCCGAUACUGCCGCGCUUGAGUAAUGGAGGGGUAGCUGGAAUUCUCGGUGUAGCAGUGAAAUGCGUAGAUAUCGAGAGGAAGACUCGUGGCGAAGGCGAGCUACUGGACAUUUACUGACGCUGAGGCACGAAGGCCAGGGUAGCGAAAGGG